rnacentral:piRNA from 1 species
UGGUGGGAUUGGCUGGGAGCAGCAGU